rnacentral:rRNA from 1 species
UACGUAGGGGGCAAGCGUUGUCCGGAAUCAUUGGGCGUAAAGAGCGUGUAGGCGGCUCGAUAAGUCUGCUGUGAAAGUCCAGGGCUCAACCCUGGAAGGCCGGUGGAAACUGUCGGGCUAGAGUCCGGAAGAGGCGAGUGGAAUUCCCGGUGUAGCGGUGAAAUUCGUAGAUAUCAAGCGGAACACCGGUGGCGAAGGCGGCCUUCUGGACAGUGACUGACGCUGAGACGCGAAAGCGUGGGGAGCAAACAGG